GCGAAGGUGGCGGAAUUGGUAGACUCGCUAUCUUCAGGUGUUAGUGUCCUUACGGACGUGGGGGUUCAAGUCCCCCCCCUCGCACCA
rnacentral:tRNA from 1 species